CGCGCCCGCGGCCGGGCGCGCCUCGAGCGGCCGCUCCAAGGCUCAGGCGCGGCGUGGGUUAGGUAGGAGCGUACGAACGGAGAAGCAGCAGACGGAGGCCGCCGAGGAGAGCUUCAGGGACCGCCGUGCGCUCCCAAGGAGGACACCCGGGAGGAGCAAUUAAAAACGACGAGCCCCGCUCGCCAGGUGCAGAGAAAGAGAAAUGCAGGCAUCAGAAACAUGCUGCCGAGCCAUAUGCUAAUUCUGCAGCACGACGCACGCGGUUUCGCAUCCAUCAAAAUGCACCGUAUCCUGCUCAUUAAAUACUUUUGGUGAACUGCAAGCUGAAGAGAGGAGAAAGUGUUCACUUAUAGCAUCUGAGGACUGGCUGCAAAUGCGUUCAAGAAAAAUGUGAUCUGUUCACAAACUUAAAGGUGAAUUUUACCGAAACAGUCGCGACAAGACACAGUAGCAGGGAAUAAAGUUAUUGCCCAUGUCAGCUUGGAGCAGCAGCACUGGGUACCAA